GUCCGUUUGAAGAUGUAAGUGGUCUGGCCUGCUCACUGAUAAAAUUAUUUAAGAGCCGCGGUAUAUUGACCGUGCAAAGGUAGCAUAAUCAUUAGGGGUUUAAUUGGAACCUGGAAUGAAGGGUCGGACAAAGGAAAAACUGUCUAUAAAAUUAAGUUUGAAGUUUACUUUUAAGUGAAAAGGCUUAAAUAACUCAAAGGGACGAUAAGACCCUAUAAAGCUUUAUAUACAAUUUAAGUUUGAUUGGUUUAAAUAUAAAGGUUGAAUUUAAUUGUUUUAUUUUGUUGGGGUGAUGUGAGUAUAAUUUUGGUUAACUGCUUAUAAAGAACCCUUUUGUAAGAGAUUAAAGUGAUAGAUGAUCCUUUUUAAAGAUUAAAAGACUAAGUUACUUUAGGGAUAACAGCGUUAUUUCUUUUGAGAGUUCAUAUCGAGAAAGAAGAUUGUGACCUCGAUGUUGAAUUAAAAUAUCUAUAUAAUGCAGCCGUUAUAAGAGAGGGUCUGUUCGACCUUUAAAUUUUU
rnacentral:rRNA from 1 species